rnacentral:lncRNA from 1 species
AUGCCCAUGACUGAGCUCCUGCAUACACCAAAUAGUUGGCUUGAGGGAUGCAAUUCUGCUAUAAUUUGCCAAAACUCUAAAAGAUUUUUCCCAUUUAGAGCUGAAUGGAAGAGGAAAGCCUUUGAGCAGGAAUUGCUUCGUGUGAGAACUGAUAAGAGCUUCCAGGAAUGGGAGAAAGAAUUGAAAAAGAUGUAAUGGAAAGGCCUCUAGCAGGGAAUUGAACUCAGGUCUUCUACAUAGUGUUCUGGGAGGUGCUGGACACAGACUAUCUGGAGAGUAGCAGCUUUAGCUGUACAGCUCUGUGGGAAGGCCUAAUUACCAGUGAUUACUCUUUCAUCCUAUGGAUUCAUAGGAUUUUCUGGGUCAGCUGGAAAUGAUCUUUUUCUGAACUUGAGAAACAUUUGGGACCUUCAGUUAGCCAUUUGUCUUCCUAUUUUGGGUGCACAACGCUGAAGAUACAAAAGCUUAACGAUGUUGAACCUGCUGAUUCUGAGACCCAAGAGAAUCCAUGAUUUUGUGAUCUUUUGAAAACCUGGUGACCUACUGUAAAGUGGCAUUUUUUUUAGGAGGAAGAAUAUUUGUUUGAUUUUUGAAAGCACUUAACAAAAAUGGGAACACUCUAAACCAUAUUUUUUAUCCUCCUAAUGAUAUUUGCAUGAUUCAGUAGAGUUUAUUUAUCCCUCUGCACUCUAUGCCUCAGUUUACAACUCUAAAUGUAUAAUUAUUUACAUACACAAUCUUCCAGUUAAAAAAUUUUUGUUUGAAAUAUAGUUGACCUUUUUAAAAAUGUGAGAUAGUAAAUGGAGGAACUUGCUUGCUUUGUUUUCUGAUUCCAGGACACUUAGAAUAUGCUUUAGUGCUAUUUCUGUACUCUGCCUCAUGAAGUCUGGAAGUGAUCUUAAAAUGAAAGUUGGAAUGCUAACACAUGGAAAAAGUAAUACUGUGGCACUCCAAUAAAAUUAAAAAAAUUUAUGUAAAAAAAAAAAACAAAACAAAACACUAAGCCCAAAGUUAUCUGUAUUAUCUACAAAGAAACCUUUUAAAUAAGUUUUAAAUAGAAGUGUACAGAUGCAAAAUACUAAUGUGGAUGUGACUUCUGCAACUGUGAGGAAUACAAAAUUGAUGUGUGGGUGUCAUUAUAAAAAAUAGAACAGCACCAUACUAACAGAUAUGUUAAAAUUUAAAUGUUGAAUUAAAUCUCUCUUAAAACGUUCUGUGCAGUGUUAUGUCAAGUAACAAAGUUACAAUCCAAAUUUUUUUUCAUCUGUAUCUCUAAAUCUCUAAAUGUGUGGGUUUAACUCUCUCCUCCUUUUUUUAAACCAUCGUGACCCGAAGAUAUCUUGCAGUGGAAAUAAAAAUAUUGAAAAAAUGGAAGUCUUAAGAGUAAAAAGUAGAUCCUUAGAGACUGAAGUAAUAGCAUUAGUGGACAAACUAAAAUAAAAAAGCAGGUCCAAUUCAGAUGUGCAGCCUGGCGAAGUCCAUU